AAUAAUAAUGCAGUUAGAAGUCUGCUAGUCUGUGUGUCAGGGUUUCAGAAGACAGUAGAGUCUGUAUAUACUGAAUUUUGCUCAUACUAAUGGAGGUGAUUAUACUCAGCAUUUAGGCAUGAACUGAAUGAAGGUGCUCCAAAGGAAACCAGGAGAGAUCAAAUGUUCUUUCAGUAACUCUCUGACAUAAACCAUCUUAUUCUUGCCUUAGAGUCAGAAUAAUUCAGCUGUCUACUCAUUUCAUCUACAUAUUUUAAGUUUUCCCAAGGCUUGGUUUAAGUGCAUGCUGGGUGACACUGGACAUCUGAUGUGACUCCUUAGCACUGUGGGCUUCCAUCCCACAGGCAGAAUUUAAUAAGGACUGCAUACAGUAUUGUACGUAACAUUUCAUUCAUGCAAAAAAUACUCCAAUUUUCUGCCUUACAUGGUACAAACUGUUUUGAGGAACCUGGGUCUAUUUGCUGAAAAUGCUUUUGAGCCAGCAUAAAUGUUUAUCCAAGUUACCUGCCCAAUUUGUGAGCAAAAAAUGAUAUUUUCUGAGGUGCAUUUUUAAUUUUUAUGUGGUUUGGAAUGGACUGGUAUCAUGGGUAAAAUGGUACUGUAUUUCUUCAGAUUUACAGGAACUUGAUAUUCUAUAUCACUGCUCUGGUUUCUAUAGGUAAUUGUAACAACAAUUCAGUCUGUGAGUGACUUCAAAUUAAGGAAUCUGACAUUAAUUUGACUCCUGUUGCAUAGUUUUCCAGUGUUUGAGACGCUGAUAUUAGAAUUACACAGCUUUGAGCUGUUUCCCUUCCCUUCUCUCAUGAUCAGAAAUUCAAAGAAUUUUACCAUGGCAUUCAAAUGAAUGUUACACUGAGGUGAGGGCCUAAGAAGUAGACCUGUGCUGUCAGGAUAUAUGUAUACGGGAAAGAGGAAUUCAAGUAAAUAAUGUUGUAGCUGAGAUAAUCAAACGUUUAUUCCACCUCCUGAAUUUAUCUUAUGAUUAUCAGAUUUUCCCAGUUCUUAAGACCUAGAAAAGGUACACCAUACGGCCAAUUAGUAAUUUACUAAUUUACCUGGAGAUAGUUUUGAGCUAUUAUCAGCUUCUCGUGACUUCUCAGAAUACAAGAAAGUGAUAUUUCAAGCAUUUAUUCCUUUCCCAUAUUUCCAUCAUUCAUAUGUUGAAUUUCUUUUCUUUCCUUUUAUUCUCCAGUUCCUCGACCCCAGUUCAGUGUUGGUUAGCUAUCCAACAUCUGUUUAACUUCCCCACAAACAGCAGUCAUGAGCACUACUCAUAUGUGACUUAGAUGAAGGAUGUGGACCUCUCGCAGAUGUGAGGUUGAUAAUCAUAUGGAAGUUUUCAGAAGAUGAAUUAUACUCAAAUACCAUUGUCCAUUUACUUAAUCACUAAUUUGUCUCUGCUAGACUCCAUUUUCCUAAAGCUCUCAACUGACCUUUAAUAAGUAUACAACUAUUAUCAAUAAUUUUCAUUUUUGUGGCAAUGUAUGGUACUUUUUUCCCCCCAGUAAAAAAUACUUAACUGCUCCCUGCAUUAUCAAAUGGUAUUCAAACUAGCUGAGUGAGAGUUAGAAGUCUGUCGUCUCAUGUUCCAGACAGAUUUUCACCAUGGUGGAGGUUUUUUUUUUUAUAGUUUAGAAUGGUCUUAGGUACAUGGACAUUAAAUAUUAUCUAUCUGGAUAUAUAACACCAGAAAGAUGUGAAAAUAUUGACUUUUUUGUAUGUAAAUGUAAGUUUAUGUGUAAAUCAUAGAAUCAUAGAAUCACAGAAUGGCCUGGGUUGAAAAGGACCACAAUGAUCAUCUAGUUUCAACUCCCCUGCCAUGUGCAGGGUCGCCAACCACCAGACCAGGCUGCCCAGAGCCACAUCCAGCCUGGCCUUGAAUGCCUCCAGGGAUGGGGCAUCCACAGCCUCCUUGGGCAACCUGUUCCAGUGCGUCACCACUCUCUGUGUGAAAAACUUCCUCCUAAUAUCUAACCUAAACCUCCCCUGUCUUUUUCUUAAAAUGUUAUGUAUUUGAACUUACUGACUGAAAUAUAUUUUGUAAAAAACACUGGAUUAAACAUAGUUUUAAUUUUUAGAAAGGCUUUCAUAAAAUGUAAAAAACAUAGUUUCGAUAGAUUAAUAAAAAAAUGAUAAAAAUAGGUGUCUGGAAGCACCUGCUCACUAGAGACAAUUUACUAGAGAGGUAGAAACAGCUUAUAAACUACGAAAAAAUAACAAUAAUUAAAGGAGCUAAAAGAAUCGGGUUCUAAUUAUUUCAUAUUUAUUUUUUCUAUUUUAUGCAUUAUUUAAAUGUCUGUCUAGUUAAUCAGAAAAUUUAAAAGAUAUAAAAGAAACCAGGAAAACAGAGCAGAGAAGAUGGGCAAAAAAAGCAAUGUAACAGUGAUUUGGCUGUGAAAUUUUUGAUUUACAAGUUCUUUGGGAUGGCUUAUAAGCUGCCUCUUAACUAAGAGAUAAUAUAACACCACUUUGAUUUUUACUUCUUGAGAGGGUGAAGUUUCCUAUGAAAAGAGAGGGAGAAGCUCCUUUUUGUUUAAAAUUUUUGUGCUUGUUGUUGCCACGAUGAACGAUAUGUUGGCAUGAGAACAUCUUGUUUAGCAUUUACAAAUUUCCCAUGCUGUGUUUCCACUAGACUGCAAAAUAUCUUGGUAUAAGCCCUUCUAUGUAAGAGAAUAGAAUAAGUAAGAUUGUGAUGCGCACACAACUUCUGCUGUUGUAGGAGUGACUAUAUAAUAUUAUUUAAUUACCUUUUGUCAUGUUAACUGAAGCAGUCAGAAAAGGCAGUGAACUCCUGCACACAAAGGUGUGCACACCCUGGUGCCUGAGGCUGUUCACCUAUUGCUUGAGAUUCUCUCAGGUGCUCAGAUAAAAUAGACUGUGUCUCCCUGAAACCUGGGCUGUCCUCAUGUAAUGCAGGGUGGAGAUGUAGCCACUACUGCCUCUGUGCUGGGAACUGGACAAGGUGGCUUCUCAAGUUCCCUUCUGACAGAUUCUUCAGGCUCUGAGCUACAUUGAGGUGAGCUUCUAUCAUACCAGACCACCAUGGCACCUUCUGAACAGCUAUACAGUGUCUGAAAGUAGUUGAAUUCUCUGAUACUGCUGACAAACACUGUCUCUGUUUUGCUGUCAGGAAGAGCUAUACAUGAAUUGCUGUGCAAUACCUCUUGUCUACUGUGGAUCCAUUAUAGCUUACAGACUUGUAAGAGGAUCACUUAGACUUAACAGGAACUGUUAAUACACUUAAACACACUUAUCAGUUUGCUUGAUUUUUCUGUUAAAUCCUCUGCUUUAGUCAGGUGAAGAUUAUGAGUAUUAUUGUUGGAAUUAGCUAAACUUUUACUGGAUCAGAAUUUGAUCCCUAUGCAUGUUUGAGGCUCACAGUUACAAACAGCAUUUUGUAAGUCAACCUGCUCUCACUGACUAAAAUGAGAAAAGAGCAGAUAAGGAACUUCAAGCAACAGACUUUCUCUAAUCUGAUCUAGUUUGUGUAUAAUUUGAUUUUAUUCUGACUCAAAGAAAAGAUGAUUUAAAAAUAUAUAUCUUUACAGAAACCAGAUCAGCUCCUUUCUGUCUUGAAGACUAUGCAUUUAAAUAAUUUAAUUGCCUGAAAGCUGCAAAUGUAGGUCCCUUGAUGUUCUCAGUAUGAAAGAUGGGGAAGCAGGAAAGGAGAAAAAGAACCAUGAGAUAUACCUCCCUACAGGGGCCACUGUCACCGACUGAGUAUCUCUGACUACUGAGGAUACCCUAGAUUUUGAAGACUUACUUAGUCUUAUCAAGACUAUUGCAGUGUAUUUGGAUCCUUAACUAGCUGUUUCAGCAGGAGCCCUAAAAAACUUCAGUCCAGGUCUACCCUGAGGUUUUUCCUCAGGGUCCUUGCAACCUUGGAGGAUGCACUUUUGCCCAUCUAAGCAGGAUUUGGAUGCAUGAAACCCAGGCUACUACAAUCUUGGGGAACAGAAUGAGUGCUUAACCACACAAAAUUUAAGGAAAAAUCACACCACAUGGUGGUUAUUGUUAAUGUCUUUUGGCGCUGUCUGUACUUCAUGAAGUGUCUCUAGAAAGGUGACCAGGACUUUUUUUUUUAGAGAGGAUAGUAAAUGCAGGCUUAAUCUGGGUGAGGCAAUAGCAAAUAAGCAGUGAGGGUGCCCAGAAACUUUGGUGAUUUAGUAGAGUAGGUGUGCCAUGAGAAUUUAGCAAGUUCUAGUGCUAUGCACAAAGGUUCCCCCUGAACUGUGUGGCUGCGAGACACUCUGGGUUUGUGGGAUAUUUAAUUUUACUGCAAGCAAGAUAUCUGGGAUGGAGUUAAACUUUAACAUGAGUAUACUGCUUCUCAUAUCAGAAUGAUGCCACAUUCUAAUUGUUUGUUAUUGCUGGAGUCUUUGCUUCAUAGUUCUUGGAAGGGAUUAGUCACGGCACCAAGAUCCCUUCUUGCUGUCUUAAGCACUAUUGUGUCUUUUAUACAGGUUAUGACCUACAGCAUUCACAGUUGAAUCUUCCCUUGACUAAGACAUAUUUCCUCCCCUAGGACUUUCAUCCAGCUUUUUAAAUAGCAUAUCUCUUUGUAUAUUCCUACUGUUUGUGUUACAACUGUAUCUGGCUAAUAAACAAGAGACAAACAUAUAUUACAUUCUUUCUACUAUCCAUCCCCAAUUUCUAUCUUUUUCAUUGUUCGUACAACCCUUCAAAUUUUGUUUUGAUGAAAAAAAAUAAUGAAUCAGAAAAUACACACAACCUGACAGAAGUUCAGGUUUCCCUUUUGUCUAGAUUUUAAGUCCUCUGCAAAAGACACUUUGGUAAGGAUAAGCAGAAAAGUAGAAAGCCAAGGACUUUGCAGCCAUGUACUGUGAUUUCUGAUUUCUAAAAUUCCUACAGUGUAAUUUCAGCCUUGUGGCACUACAGUCUUUGACUUCUACUGACCUUUACGAGAGACUUGCUAUACAGUUGUUACAAUUUUUCUGUCAGGACAGAUCUUCUUUUGUUUUCUGCCACAAUAUAUAGAAAGUGGAAUGGGAAAACAAUCUUGAAUUGAACAAUUUUUUUCAAGAAAUUGAAUAAUUUCUUGAAAAAAAUUCCAUUUCUCAAAAAGUAUUUGGCAUCUUGUUUUCUGACUGAUGCAAGUACUGAAGCUGUAUUAUCCAACUUCUCACCAGUACCUCAGUUUUCCUGCCAGAGCUAUAACUGGGGCUGUAUUUUGACAAAAUCUCCAAACAGGCAGAUCUCUGCACUUGUAGAGUGUCCUCAGAGAACUCAGAUGUUGGUGCCUGAACAUGUGUUAAAUAAUGCUGCUUGUAACAGUUAUAGACCUGUACAGAAAUGUGUAAUAUGAAUCUUUUUGAGUUAGGUAUUUGAUGCAUAGAUUAAUGAAGUGAACUGCUUUAUGCAUCAAAAAGUCUAGAAUUAUACAUUAAGAGAUAUUGUGUUUUUAAUAGUUUGCCUUUUCUUCUCUCAAGGAUGGGAGGUGAUUUCUCAAGGUUCUUGAUGCAUUCCUCUUCUCCACCAUCCUCAGCUACUACAAUUGCUAUUGACUGAAAUGUUGACCUUUAUUUUACAUGUAUAAUGAAAAAUACCAAAGCUAUAAUCUUUUCCAUUGAAGCAGAGUAACCGUUUUUCAACAGAAGGAAGAGUGCCACUCUUGGGCUCCGUCACAAAGGCAUCUUCAAGACCACUUUGCUCAGUACUUGUUUGCUUCCUAAUAUGUGUUAAGA
rnacentral:lncRNA from 1 species